UACGAGGGGGGCAAGCGUUGUUCGGAAUUAUUGGGCGUAAAGGGCGCGUAGGCGGUUUGACAAGUCUGAUGUGAAAUCUCUGGGCUCAACCCAGAGUCUGCAUUAGAAACUGUCGGGCUUGAGUAUGGGAGAGGUGAGUGGAAUUGCGAGUGUAGAGGUGAAAUUCGUAGAUAUUCGCAAGAACACCAGUGGCGAAGGCGGCUCACUGGCCCGGAACUGACGCUGAGACGCGAAAGCGUGGGGAGCAAACAG
rnacentral:rRNA from 1 species